UGGGGAAUAUUGGACAAUGGGCGCAAGCCUGAUCCAGCAACGCCGCGUGGAGGAUGAAGGUCUUCGGAUCGUAAACUCCUGUCAGGUGGGACGAAGGCCUGGGGGCGAAUAGUCUCCAGGUUUGACGGUACCACCAGAGGAAGCCCCGGCUAACUCCGUGCCAGCAGCCGCGGUAAUACGGAGGGGGCGAGCGUUAUUCGGAAUUAUUGGGCGUAAAGGGCGCGUAGGCGGCUUGACAAGUCAAAGGUGAAAUCCCUCGGCUCAACUGAGGAACUGCCUUUGAAACUGUCUGGCUUGAGGCCGGGAGAGGGUAGCGGAAUUCCCAGUGUAGCGGUGAAAUGCGUAGAUACUGGGAGGAACACCGGUGGCGAAGGCGGCUACCUGGACCGGUUCUGACGCUGAGGCGCGAAAGCGUGGGUAGCAAACAG
rnacentral:rRNA from 1 species